UGGAUCACAUAGAUUCACUUAAAUGUAUAGUCUUUAAUUAUAUAAUUAAUAACUUUAUAUAAUUUUGUUCUUGUUUUUAUAUAUAUAUAUUUAUAUAUAUAUAUAUUUUAAUGUAAAUCGUCGUAAGUCAUUUGCAUUAUAAAGCGUUUUUUUUUAUUAAUUUUAUUUGUUAAAAAUUAACUUAAUAAAAAUUAUAAUUAAAUGAAAAUUAAUGUUAGUAAUACUUUUUUAUCAUUUUGUUUGUAUAGUUCGUCUUGUCUUGUAUGUUUAACCUUAUCUUUGCUCUGCUGCAUUUUUUUUUAAUUUACAAUAAUAAUUUUUUAUUUCAUUUGUUUAUAUAAUUUUAUUUAAGUUAUUUAUUAUUUGAUAGUACAUAAUUUUUAGUAAUUUAUCAUUUUGUCUUCUCACUUUGUUUUGGUGUAUUUUUUGUUUAUAUUUAUUUUUUUUCUUGUUUUUUGUUUAAUUAAGUGAAAUAUGUUUAAAUAUAAGAUCAUAGUUUUGCAUAAUGAUGUACUUAUAAUUUAUGAAUCUUUGUCAAAUUAUUUUUUACUCAUAGUACAAUUUUGUUGUUAAUUUAAAAUAAUGCAUCGAUUGAAUAUUAUUUUGUUGGAUUCCACUUAAUCAGUUUUCUUCUUCAUUCUUUUUUUGUUCAUAGUUCAGUUGAGUUUUAUUUGUUUAAAUGUUUCUUAAAAUAAUAAUAAUUUUUUUUAUUUUCUUAGUAUAAAUUUAUUUACAACAUUUACAAAAUGGUGUUUAUUUUUUUUUGCUUAAAUAUUAACAACACGUGUGAUGGAGUUUUACGUUUUGACGACUUUUUAUUUUGUUUUCUUAUUUUUUUUAACAAAUUGAAGAUGAGUAGAAAUAAUGAUUUGUUUUUUAUUUUCUUAGCCUACAAUAAUAAUUUAUUAUAAGUAAUUUUUCGAUCUUAAAAAUGUUUUACUUGAUUUUGUUUUUGUUGGUGUUUUUUUCUGUUUCUGUUUUUGUUUUUCUUUUUGCUGGCUUCGAUUGUAUAGGAAGUUUGUUUUAUAUCAGUUUUAUUUGUUUACUUUAUAACUAUUUAUUGUAUUUUAAAAAUGCAUUGAAAAGGAAUCGAGUUUCAUUUAGCGGUUGUUGUUGUUGUUAAAUUGGGGAAAUAAAAUUAUAUCCAUAAUGUAAAUAAAUUUUAUAAAUAUAAAUAAAAAUCAAUUUUUUUAAAUUCCAACGGAAGCUCCUGGAUCGAAAUCAACAGAGUAUUUUGAGCCAAACGAUUAAACUUUUCAUAACAACAAAAAACUUAUUUUAUCCUUGUUACUUUGCGCCUACUUUCAAAAACAUCACAUGACAUGUUGAAAAUGGGCAGGUUUAGACUACAUAAGGGACUUCAUUUGCAGCCAACUUCAUUCUUUGAACGUACAUUUUGACUAAGGCAACUAGUUAGUUUUUUAAGUGUCAUGAAUUUCAAAUUCAGAACAUUACUUCGCAAACCACUACUUUAUGUUCAUAGUAAAAGUACUACCAAAAACAUUAUGGUCUACAAAACAGUCCUCAGGCAAACUACAAGCCCAUCACGAUUUGUAUUUUGUAUUGUAAACAAAUUUAACUCAUUUCUUUUUCGAAUUGACAAGGAAACCAUUUACAGAAGACAUUAAAAAUGGAGUUAUACAGAAAAUAAAUAAAUCAUAGAGUAAUAAAGUUCAGCUUUCAGUUGAACGAAAAAGCAUGAUCAACUGUCAUUUUGAUAGAAGUAGAUUUGACUUAAUAGUUAGGGAGAUUUUUCUUGACUAACUUUCCAGUCAACUUUCCAUUAAAGUUGCAUUAAUUGGAAGGUAAUUUUUUGGCAGCUGACCAAUCAAAGGCUAGUCUGAACCUGCCCAAUCUGUUUCGAACUGGAAACUAAAAACUCAGGACACGUAAUUUUACAUUCAUAUAUUUCAAUUUUCUGACUAAUCACAAACAAAAAUAAAGGUUAAUUCUAUGUAUAUAUUUCUCAGCUAACUUUUGAUGACUCGGAUAUUAAUUAUUAAAGGCUUUUAGUGUUCCUUAUAAGUUAGGAGGCUUUUCGCAAGUCGACUUAUUGAAUUGUUUUACAUAUGUACCUAGCCACAGGACCACCGAAAUUUCAAUACACCUCAAACAUCAACUUGAAAAAAAACCGCAUUUAAGUUAAGACACUAUUGCUUCUGUUAAAAAACGAAAUUAUUUUGCCAAAUAAUUUCUAAUAGAGGUAGCUUAUGUUGUGUGAAACUCUUUUUUAAUUUCAAGCCUGAUAAGUCAUCAUUUUAUUAACAAUAUGUAAAAAAUCUAGUUAAAUAAAUGUCAGAUACUCAAGUAGUUUUAUUUCCAUACUCGUAUAUUAAGCCUUUUUUUAAAUUAAGCAUUAUUACCUUUGAAUUUCUACGAUUUCUAGGCCCAAAUUUUGUUCAUUUGAUUGUAUUUUCUUAAUAUGAACGACUUUUAUACUAAUGACAAUCACAUGAAUUCAAAGUAAAAGAAUCGCAGAAUCUGUUCAAUAAGUUUAAAAGAAUACUUUUAAAGAGAUUCCUCCACAAUCUUAGACACACUCAAAAUUUGAAUAUUUCAUCAGUCAAGUUCACAUUAGUCUACCCAAAACCAACUUCUUUCAUAACUAGCGAAUAUAUUUAAUUAAAGAGUUAAUGGCUGGAUGUUAAGAAAAUAUAACAAGAGUCUCAGUAUUCUUCGCAGCAUGUUAAUAGGAAUCCAAUACUUAGUUUUGUAGACGAGAAAUUAAGGUCAGUAUUUAGCAAGAAAACGCUUACAAUAAGAAGGGCAAGAAACCUAUUUUGCUAAGCGUUCACGUAAAAUUCUGUUUUGUGUAUUAGCCACAUUAGUUUUAAAUUAUUUAAAACUUUGUUAUAACGUAAAACGUACAAAUAGAUUCUUCUUAGAAUUAAAAAAAAAUAAAAUAUUUAAGUUCAAUCUGAGGUAAAUUUAUUGAAACAUUCACGUGUUUACCAAAACGUUCGAGAGAAGACGUUAGUAUUGAAUCUGAAACUUUUAAUACUAAACGAACACGAAAAAUAAUUCUAGAACCUUUUCUAGGACUUUCUAACACAGAGUUAUUGAAGACGCGAUAUCGACUGAGAAAUUCGGAAAACUUUUCAAAAAUGCGAUUGACACUUGUUUGAAGUAGUAACUUCUUUAAUUUGACUUGAAAAAUAGCAAAAGGAAAUAAUAAUAUUCUAAGAUCCAAAUUUAAACUGACGUUUUUUAGUUUUAUAUCCAAGAAUUUUCUCAGCUGAACUGAAAAAUAUACAUAUUUGUGUACCUUCUAAAUAUUUAGAACCUCAUGAUAAGUAGCCAAUCGAAAGUUGGAGUCAAAGCUAACAUUUUUCAAUAUACAUUAUACAUAUGUACAUACUCGUAAAUCAUUUUCCGACUCACAUUUGUCUAAAAUGUGUCUACAAAUAACGACUUCUUCGAUUUCCUUAACAGUCGUUUAGAUUGGAAUUUGAUUCACUAUUCGAAACCUAUUUAAAUUAUACUAUCAAUUUCAUCAGUUUAUCCUUAAUAAACAGUUAAAUCUAGAAAGAACUCCUUUGAAAUGAAACAGGAAAGAACAUUACCUAAGUAUUAUGACCAACAAGUUAUAAAUACAUCAUAAGCUUAAUUAGUAACAACAUACGAAUAGUAACAGGCCUAAUCAUCGGAGAAAAAAAAGAAAAUAAUCUUCCCUUUCUAAUGAUACUCUCGAGCUUCAAAAAGCAGAAAUUAACUUAGAGGAAGAUCAAUUAAAUUGACAGCCUCAGCCAGUUCAAAAAGCAGACAGAAAAGAUUUGAUUUACUUGCAUUUUUUCGAACUUAAUUUAUUAAUGUUCAUACUUAUUAAAAAUUCAUCUAAUAAGUUCGAAGCUAUUUCAAAAAAUUCCUGGAAUCCAUUGUUGUGAUUCGAAAUAUUUGCGUUGAUUUUUUGUUCAAUACAAAUUUGACCCAAUUAAUUGUGACCCACGGAUUUUCUAAACUUUUUGCUCAAUCACAAACACGUAUUUAAACCAUUUUCAAGGUCCGUUACAUUGACCAUUGUGGUAAAACUUUAAUUAUAAAUAAAUAAAUUAGGUGAUGCAACCAGUCCGUUGAGAACUAGGGCCUAUUGACUUACAACACUCAAACAAUACUGUAUGCGAGUAAUGUUGUCAGGUAUAGAGGGGACCUACAGCUUUAAGCCAAAUCCGAACAGAUAAUUUGAGAAAGGACUUUUUAUGACAAGAAUUACUCCCGGAGGCUUCGUCAAUACCGCGCAAGUAGCAGUUCCCGUGAAGAAAAAACUUUAGAUGACACAGAAAGGGAUUGAACCCUAGACCUUUGGCACGACAGUCCUACGCAUUAACUAUCAGGCUAUGGGUACUAAUUUAAUUGCAAACAUUAUAAAAGAGAACCUAAUAGUAAAGAAAAGCUGUAAGGCUCUAUUGACCGGUCCAAAACAAACAUCAAGUUCCAACGGAUGAGAUGACUUGGAUAUAAUGCUUCGGCCAAUAAUAAAGACUUCAAUUAGCAUACUCGACUGACUUAAACAUGUCAGAUUUGUAUGUAUGAAUAAAAAUUGUCUUAAAAUUAAAAAAUGGAAAAUAAGGACUUUUGUUUCCAAUUUAAGCUGACAAUAAUUUGUAUGAACAAAAGCAGAUAUUUCAGUAAAAUUAGCUUUGAUAAGCAAGAAUUAGUUUUUCAUAAAUAUGUUCACCUCAUACAGUUGCGAAAGCAGAUAAAUAUUAAGAGGAGAUCUAAAAAAAAACGUUUAAAUAACUUGCAUCAAUUAGAAAAUUAUGUUAAGACUUACAUAUUUUUAAGGAUUUUCUUAAGAAAAGGUUAUACUCGUGAUUUAAAUAUAACAAGUUCAUAACUCAUAAAAGAUU